GUGUUUGAGUCUUGGUUGAGCACAUAUACUACAAUUGGAACGAUACAGAGAAGAUUAGCAUGGCCCCUGUGUAAGGACGACACACAAAUUUGUGAAGCAUUCCAUAUUUUU